ACGUGGUAUCUUCCCUGGAAACAUAAGAUGUUGAAGAUGAGUACUCGAGAGCAAUGCCAGGUAAGUAAUCAGGUAAGGGGUUCCAGGGAGUCAGUUCCUGGUUGGGAGCUUGAUUUCAAGUGCUGACUGAUUGCUCUCUUUCUCCUUGUCUUGCAAGUAAAAACAAGGCAAAAGGAAAAGACAGGGAAAAAGCAUGAUAUGGGAUACUCUUGCUUUUAACCCUGAUGAUAUGAGAUAUUCUUGCUCUAGUAUAGCUUGUUUGUAGAGGUAUUAUCGGGGGGGAAAGAAAGCUGAAUAUUUCGAAAGGCUUCGUUGGGAGUGCCCUCUCAGAUAUGAGGAAGGGUUAAGCAUUUUUGCAGGUCUGCCUGUCCGUUGGGGAUGGAGGUCGACAUAUAUAAGAGUCUCCCUAACAACAAGUAGUAAUGCUAUUUCUUUACCCUGCUUGGUCAUAGCACGGUAGUGGGAGCUGCCAGCUUCACAUGUUUUAACUCUGUCAGAGCACUUUGAAAAAGUGGUAUGUGGUAUCUGGCUCUCGAGAUUCGGAGAACGAUGCUUCUUCGAUUUUUGAGAAAGCAAUCAUGCUGGGGGUCUGGCUCUCGAGAUUCGGGGAGCAAUGUCUCUUUGAUUUUUGAGAAAGUAAUCAUGUGGGAGUCUGGCUCUCGAGAUUCGGAGGGCGGUGCCUCUUCGAUUUUUUAGUAAGCAAUCUUGUUGGGAGUGUUUUCUCGGAUGUGAGUAAAGGUUGGGCAUGUUUGCUAGUCUACCUUGCCACGAGGCACAGAGGUUGACACACAGGGACUUUCCAAUUAUCCAGCAGUGGUACUGUUCAUUUACCCUUGUGGGUAAUAAUAUGGUAGCUAGACCUUCAAAAUUUAUGUGUCUAAACUUUGUUAGUGCUGUUUCUUUGCUAUUCUUCUUUUACCUUUCUUGGUCAGAGCGAUGUAGUGGGAGCUGCAAGCUUCACGUGCUCAACUUUUGGCAGAGACUUUGGCAAAGUUAUCUGUGGUACCCAUGAGCUAUUGUUGCGUGUGGGAAGUGGGUGAUUGAACAGUAAGAUUCAUGUGCUUUCGACUUCACCAGAAGUCUUCGACAGAAUGACCAUAAUUUCCGCAAAGCUGAGUGUGCGUGUGACAGGUGCUGACAAGGCUAGAAAAGUAGGUGCCUCUUCGAUUUCUGAGAUCGACCCUCGUGAUCUCUGAGCAGCCCAGCUUUUGAGAAAGCGAGCGCCUCUUCGAUUGAUUCGGAGAACGAUGCCUCUUCGAUUUUUGAGAAAGCAAUCAUGCUGGGGGUCUGGCUCUCGAGAUUCGGGGAGCAGUGUCUCUUCGAUUUUUGAGAAAGUAAUCAUGUUGGGAGUCUGGCUCUCGAGAUUCGGAGGACGGUGCCUCUUCGAUUUUGGAGCAAGCAAUCUUAUUGGGAGUGUUUUCUCGAAUGUGAGUAAAGGUUGGGCAUGUUUGCUAGUCUACCUUGCCACGAGGCACAGAGGUUGACACACAGGGACUUUCCAAUUAUCCAGCAGUGGUACUGUUCCUUUACCCUUGUGGGUAAUAAUAUGGUAGCUAGACCUUCAAAAUUUAUGGGUCUAAACUUUGUUAGUGCUGUUUCUUUGCUAUUAUUUUACCCUUCUUGGUCAGAGCGAUGUAGUGGGAGCUGCAAGCUUCACGUGCUCAACUUUGGUAGAGAACUUUGGCAAAGUUAUCUGUGGUACCCAUGAGCUAUUGUUGCGUGUGGGAAGUGGGUGAUUGAACAGUAAGAUUCAUGUGUUUUCUACUUCCCCAGAAGUCUUCGACAGAAUACCCAUAAUUUCCGCAAAGCUGAGUGUGCGUGUGACAGGUGCUGACAAGGCUGGAAAAGUAGGUGCUUCUUCGAUUUCUGAGAUCGGCCCUCGUGGUCUCUAAGCAGCCCAGCUUUUGAGAAAGCGAGCGCCUCUUCGAUUUCUGAGAUCGGCUUUCAUGGUCUUUGAGCAGCCCAACUUUUGAGAAAGGAAACACCUCUUCGUUUUAUGAGAUCACCCUCGUGGUCUCUAAGCAGCCCAGCUUUUGAGAAAGCAAACGCCUCUUCGAUUUCUGAGCAGGCGCCUCUUCGAUGUCUGAAGCUCCGUCGAGUGCAGCUUUUUAUAGGGGCUGGCAUUAAGUUCCAAAGCACACUUGAAUCUCCACCAGUAGAAGCUCCAUUCUUGCACUUCUAAGAUCUUGAUUUGUCCGACUUCUUCUCUCUUCAACACCUUUGAAAAUGUCUGGCCCCUCCGACCGUCGUUUUGACUUGAACUUGAACCUUGUUGAAGAGGCAGCCCCGCCUUCUCCAGACAACAUUCUCCCCAACAUAUGACGCCCAUCAUCCCCUCUGGUCCCUUACCGUUGGGGAUUCCGUGAUGAUGAAGAAUGAUAUGACCGGUGCGGUGGUGGCCAGGAACCUUCUCACUCCCAAAGAUAACAGACUACUUUCCAAACGGUCUGAUGAGUUAGCUGUUAAGGAUUCGCUGGCUCUCAGUGUUCAGUGUGCAGGUUCUAUGUCUAAUAUGGCCCAACGCCUAUUUGCUCGAACCCGCCAAGUUGAAUCAUUGGCGGCCGAAGUGAUGAGUCUCAAAACAGGAGAUUAGAGGGCUCAAGCAUGAGAAUAAACAGUUGCACCGGCUCGCACAUGACUAUGCUACAAACAUGAAGAGGAAGCUUGACCAGAUGAAGGAAACUGAUGGUCAGGUUUUACUUGAUCAUCAGAGAUUUGUGGGUUUGUUCCAAAGGCAUUUAUUGCCUUCGUCUUCUGGGGCUGUACCGCGUAAUGAAGCUCCAAAUGAUCAACCUCUGAUGCCUCCUCCUUCUAGGGUUCUGUCCAGUACUGAGGCUCCGAAUGAUCCCCCUUCAAUGCCUUCUCUUUCUGGGGCUCUACCGACUGCUGAGACUUCUCCUAAGCAACCUUUGUGAAGGCUCCAUCUUGUUUGUUUAUUUUGACUCAUGUAUAUGUACAUAUUUGUAGCUUAUCGGGGAUAUCAAUAAAUAAGUUUUCCUUCAUUUCAACGUAUUGUGUUAAAUACACCAAAAGCCUUCUUCGCUAAGUUCUUUGAAUUUUCUUUUGUUGAAGCUUGUAUGUUGAAGCUUUCUGAGUGGAGCAUGUAGGUUGGGGUAGUGUUCCCUUAAUUUUCCGAGUGAGGAAAACUUCUCGGUUGGAGACUUGGAAAAUCCAAGUCACUGAGUAGGAUCGGCUAUAUGAAUCUUAGAACGCCAUUGUGCUCGGUCCUGUGUCAUGUCCUUCGUUAGAUCCAAGUACUCUAAGUCUUUUCUUAGAGUCUCUUCCAAAGUUUUCCUAGGUCUUCCUCUACCCCUUCGGCCCUGAACCUCUGUCCCAUAGUCGCAUCUUCUAAUCGGAGCGUCAGUAGGCCUUCUUUGCACAUGUCCAAACCACCGUAACCGAUUUUCUCUCAUCUUUCCUUCAAUUUCGGCUACUCCUACUUUACCCCGGAUAUCCUCAUUCCUAAUCUUAUCCUUUCUCGUGUGCCCACACAUCCAACGAAGCAUCCUCAUCUCCGCUACACCCAUUUUGUGUACGUAUUGAUGCUUCACCGCCCAACAUUCUGUGCCAUACAGCAUCGCUGGCCUUAUUGUCGUCCUAUAAAAUUUUCCCUUGAGCUUCAGUGGCAUACGGCGGUCACACAACACACCAGAUGCACUCUUCCACUUCAUCCAUCCAGCUUGUAUUCUAUGGUUGAGAUCUCCAUCUAAUUCUCCGUUCUUUUGCAAGAUAGAUCCUAGGUAACGAAAACGGUCGCUCUCUUUGGUAUUUCUUGAUCUCCGAUCCUCACCCCUAACUCGUUUUGGCCUCCAUUUGCACUGAACUUGCACUCCAUAUAUUCUGUCUUUUAUCGGCUUAGGCGAAGACCUUUUAGAUUCCAACACUUCUCUCCAAAGGUUAAGCUUUGCAUUUACCCCUUCCUGAGUUUCAUCUAUCAAACACUAUAUCGUCUGCGAAAAGCAUACACCAAGGAAUAUCAUCUUGAAUAUGUCUUGUUAACUCAUCCAUUACCAACGCAAAAAGGUAAGGACUUAAGGAUGAGCCUUGAUGUAAUCCUACAGUUAUGGGAAAGCUUUCGGUUUGUCCUUCAUGAGUUCUUACGGCAGUCUUUGCUCCUUCAUACAUAUCCUUUAUAGCUUGGAUAUAUGCUACUCGUACUCCUUUCUUCUCUAAAAUCCUCCAAAGAAUGUCUCUUGGGACCCUAUCAUACGCUUUUUUUUCCAAAUCUAUAAAGACCAUGUGUAAAUCCUUUUUCCCAUCUCUAUAUCUUUCCAUCAAUCUUCGUAAGAGAUAGAUUGCCUCCAUGGUUGAGCGCCCUGGCAUGAACCCGAAUUGGUUGUCCGAAACCCGUGUCUCUUGCCUCAAUCUAUGCUCAAUGACUCUCUCCCAGAGCUUCAUUGUAUGACUCAUUAACUUAAUACCCCUAUAGUUCAUGCAAUUUUGUACAUCGCCCUUAUUCUUGUAGAUAGGCACCAAAGUGCUCGUUCGCCACUCAUUUGGCAUCUUCUUCGUUUUCAAAAUCCUAUUGAAAAGGUCAGUGAGCCAUGUUAUACCUGUCUCUCCCAAAACUUUCCACACUUCGAUUGGUAUAUCGUCUGGGCCUAUUGCUUUUCUAUGCUUCAUCUUCUUCAAAGCUACAACCACUUCUUCCUUCCGGAUUCGACGAUAAAAAGAGUAGUUUCUACACUCUUCUGAGUUACUCAACUCCUCUAAAGAAGCACUCCUUUCAUGUCCUUCAUUGAAAAGAUUAUGAAAAUAACCUCUCCAUCUGUCUUUAACCGCGUUCUCUGUAGCAAGAACCUUUCCAUCCUCAUCCUUGAUGCACCUCACUUGGUUUAGGUCCCUUGUCUUCUUUUCCCUUGCUCUAGCUAGUUUAUAGAUAUCCAACUCUCCUUCUUUGGUAUCUAGUCGUUUAUACAUAUCGUCGUAAGCCGCUAACUUAGCUUCUCUGACAGCUUUCUUCGCCUCUUGCUUCGCUUUAGAAAGAAAAAAAACUUUUGUACAAGUACAUUCUUAGAAUGCCACGAUCAUGUUGUCGUGUCAGAUUCAAUACCACUUAUUAGAAGAUGUAUUUGUUUUUUGAGUAAGGCUACAUAUUAAGUCUUAUCAACUUGUCGUCAUUCUUAUAUAAAUUGUCUUACAUGAUGUGGGAUCACUGAUAUAUUAUGAGAUCAUGUAAAAUGACUCAUACAAUGUGACAAAGUUAGUGAAAAAGUUGAGAGUAAACUUGGUGUUUGUAGUAUUGCUAUUUUGCUCAUCUUCUAUUUGCAUUGCACUUAUUUCAGGUGGCUACAUUACACCAAGAUGAGUAUAUAAAGCUCACUAAAUCGUUGAGUGCCAUUGAAAGUAGUUUGGUUGCAGAAAGUCAUGCACACAAGGUAUCAAUUAUCAUUUACAAAUUUUGCUUUCAUCCAUGAUAUCCCGUUCAAUUGUUUCAAUACUUCGUUUUGGGAGUUGUUUUAAAAAAAUAUAUGAUAAUGUGCUUGUCGUUAAAGGAAAAUGAGUACAAAAUGACUCUUUUUGUGUAAGACUGAUAACAAUUAAUUUUUUGUAUUAUAUGGAAAUAUAUNNNNNNNNNNNNNNNNNNNNNNNNNNNNNNNNNNNNNNNNNNNNNNNNNNNNNNNNNNNNNNNNNNNNNNNNNNNNNNNNNNNNNNNNNNNNNNNNNNNNNNNNNNNNNNNNNNNNNNNNNNNNNNNNNNNNNNNNNNNNNNNNNNNNNNNNNNNNNNNNNNNNNNNNNNNNNNNNNNNNNNNNNNNNNNNNNNNNNNNNNNNNNNNNNNNNNNNNNNNNNNNNNNNNNNNNNNNNNNNNNNNNNNNNNNNNNNNNNNNNNNNNNNNNNNNNNNNNNNNNNNNNNNNNNNNNNNNNNNNNNNNNNNNNNNNNNNNNNNNNNNNNNNNNNNNNNNNNNNNNNNNNNNNNNNNNNNNNNNNNNNNNNNNNNNNNNNNNNNNNNNNNNNNNNNNNNNNNNNNNNNNNNNNNNNNNNNNNNNNNNNNNNNNNNNNNNNNNNNNNNNNNNNNNNNNNNNNNNNNNNNNNNNNNNNNNNNNNNNNNNNNNNNNNNNNNNNNNNNNNUGGCAAUGACCGAAGCCCGAAGGACGAGUCCGCCCUUCUUUUCCAGACUAAUAUAGCUACUCAACAACUAAGGGAUGAGUUGGCCGAAUUGAGGAGGGCAGUAGUCCAAAAUGCUCAACCACGAGCUCGCCUAGCGUUCAGGAUUAUUUAUCAAAAGCCUUAUCCUGAAUACAUCGAUGAACAGAAUCCAUUUCCUUCUAACUUCAAGAUGCCCGCAUUCCCAACAUUCACGGGUGAAGACAACAGUGUGUUCUCCAGAGAUCAUAUUUUCAAGUUCUCUAAUUACUGUGUGGCGUAUGAGGACAACCCAAACUACAAGUUAAGGUUGUUUGGGAAUUCGUUGGCAGAACUUGCAUCCCAAUGGUAUUCUUUAUUACCCCCUAACUCUAUUGCCAACUGGGGGCAAAUGGAGAUGGCUUUCCAUGAACAAUUUUACAUAAUAGAACAAGAGAUGACUAUUAAUGAUCUGGUUGAAGUUAAACAAUACGAGCAUAAGUCCACAGAGGACUUCAUGAUGAGGUUCAGGAAGACGAGGAUGAGGUGUCAAUUCCCUGUUAACCAAGCUCAGCUCAUAUCAAUUGCUCAAAGGGCGCUAAAAUUACCUUUGAGGAAAAGAUUUUAUGAUACAAAAAUUAAUGAGCUACAUGAGUUAGUCAUUGCUGCCACAAGAUAUGAGAAGCUAUUGCUAGAAGAAUAACAGGUGAAGCAUACGUCCAAAACUCCCCCAUUCUACAAAAACAAAGCUACAAUUCAUCAUGUGGAGGUGGGAGAAAUUGGGCCAGAGCGGAAGGACAAUCAUGAUAGAGAGAAGAUCGAGGUGUGUGCUGCUGAGAUGACUACACCUUUCAAACCCUUGACAGUGAAAUGAUUAGUUCAGCUCAUCAAAAACCAGAAGAUCGUGAUGAACGAUGGAGGUUUUGUCCCCAUAAAACCUCCCAAAGAUUAGAGCUAUUCGUUCGAUCUGACCAAAGCACCUGAGAUCUAUGAAGAGCUGGUGCGGGCAAGAGUGAUUGUACCCGACAGUACAAAAAAGAUGCCCAAACCAGAAGAGCUGAGGGGAAAGAAGUAUUGUAAGUUACACUAUACCUUCAACCAUUCUAUAACUAAUUAUGUCCAGUUCAGAGACUGGGUGCAAAACCUUAUAGUGAAGGGAAAUUUGUUACUUGACAAGUCACAAGCUAGCAUGAUGGUUGAUACCAAUCAUUUCCCUGAGGUUUCUAUCAACACGAUCCAUCUGGUUUAGAUGGAGAACCCAGUGUCAUCGGCUGGUACAACAAAGGGAGAUGGAUCUCGGGUUGUCACAACACCCUCGCUCCAAUAAAGAAGAAAGUAAACAAGGGGGCAAAGAGUUGCCCGAAAGAAGUUUGGAUAUGGGCCAGAAGUAAAGCGAGCAAAAGACAAGUACAUGUUCAUUCCAAUAAGAGAGGAGUUACAAGUGGUCCUAAUCUAGUAGUUUUACAUCUUCACUCAUGGUGAUUAUUUGGGAGUGAUAUAUUCCCAUAAUUGUAAAAAUCCUACUAGGUUCGGCCAGGACAGUGUGGCUAUUUGCAAGCUGAGAUCUAAAAUGCUCCAACUCCGAGUUAGUUUUCUUCACUUCUUCGAUUUGAUUUUCGAUGGUGUCCAGAAGAGCUGCUUGCUCAGCCUUGAGAACAACCAGUCGUUCUUCUAGUUUUUGGAUUUCAGCAGUCACCACUCCAAUUCUUUCUUUCGUCAAUGAACCAUCAUUCAUCAACUUGUCUACCUGAGCCGAAGUACAUGAUUCCUUCUCCUGGAAGCAUCUUACACGAUUAGCUUGUCUUUCUACCCUCUUAUGUUGAUCCCGAAGAGCCCUCAGAUUUUCAAAGAAGGAGAAGAAGGAAUUAUGUUGGGUUUUUGACAGUUGGCCGGCUCUGAAAAGCUCACUUGUAACCUUUUCCAGAUCAUGAAGGGCCUUAAAACUAAAUGAAGCGGAGAAAUCCUUCCUUGCCCAUUCUUGGAAAACUCGUUUUUGCUCUAGAAAACCUGAAGGUGAGGAAUGCUUCGAAGAUUUCAGCCUUGUCUCGAGCUGCCCGAAUUUUUCAAACAGUUCGGGCAACUUAGCAGUUUUUGAAGCCAGAGAAGCAGGAGGGGGACUUUGCACUCCAGUUUCCUCUAAUGAAGUAGCGGCUACUGAUGGGGCAAUUUUUAGCUCUCCGACCUUCUCCAUACCAGGAUGAACCAUCCCAGCACUCCCAAUAGCUAAAUGAGGUCGAUGGAGCUUUGGUUUACGAACCAAAUGAGGAGGAGAAGUUUCUUCAGGAACUCGCUGUAAAGACCAAAAGAAGAUCAGAUUGUUAAUAGACAAUUUGGAAUGAAGGAAUAAAGGAAAGUUCGGGGAGGAUGAGAUAUACUUGACUAAGCCUUGGAGUCUCACAAGGAAGAGUACUAAUUCCUGCUUGAGGGGAAGACUCCCUGCCACUAACAUGGAAAGAAGAAACUGCGCCUAAACCUUCACCAAUACCCUGGAAGUACACAGGAAAGGCAGUAAUGGUUAGUAAGCAGAUGGUAAGAGAAGAACAAGAAGGAAAUUUCUCCUUACCAAAGUUCGACCCUGAGGGGAUGAAGGAGGUUUAUCAAGGGUAACUGUCGGGCAGGCAAAUACCUGUAGAGUAGUCGCUUCUGAAGUUACAUGAAUCUCAGGGACUAUGGGUUCGUCACUUGUUCUUAUUGCCACUGAUGAAGUUUGUAUUGAAGGAGGCUAAAGAAGAAAUAAACAGAAGUGAAUAUCGAAACAAUGUGCAGGAAUUCAUUGUAAGGAUGGUUACUAACCAAAUUACUGUCCUCAUCCACAAAGUGCAACAUUACUCCCGUGGAUUGAUCCAAUUGAGAAUAUGGAGUUGCCUCCAGGACAGAAGGAGAAAUCAAAUGAGAACCUUGCCUAGGCAAGGGGGUAGAUACCCCGACCUGGAUGAAGUCAGAAGAAAGAAAAAGAUCAGGCAUUAUCCCAAAAAAUCAUAAAGUUACCUAAGGUUUAAAAAAUGGAGUAUACCUCUGAAGGAUCAACCCGGGAGGGAGAGAUAUCUGUUUCUUGAGCAAAUGGUGAAGAGACCUCGGGCAGAUGAAGCUUCUCGUGUCUUACAGCCUGACUCAAGUAACCAUACUCAGGUUUUUUGUAAGCAAGAAAGACUAUGCAGACAUAAGAGUAGACUAUACCUCAAGUUUUUUAAGGGUGAGGUUUCUCAAUUCUUCAGCCUUUUUAUACAUUGCAGCUCCUAAGGGUUCAUCCUUUGAGGCGAUGGUUGGUUUCUUUGAUGCUUCAGGUCCUGUGUUGAAGAAAAACAUGGAAUCAAGAUAAAGAAGAAAAAUGGCAGCCUAACUGAAGGGAACACAACUUACUUGAAGAUUUUUGCUUCUUUCUGCCCGCCUCAACAACUGGAGUAGGUGGGUCUGACGACUUGAUAGGUUGGACGGUUCUGGUUCUCUUACUCUUUCUAGUAGGAGUAGGAAUUCGUCGUCUAGUCUUGGGGGGGCGAUGCAGGAUCAGAAUCUGAGUUCUCAAUCACGACUGCUUUCCUUCGCCUGGACAUUUGGAUGGUAGCUUCGGGCGCUUCUUUUUCAGCUCCUGAAUCUUCCGAAACAUCCCCACCUUCUCCAGCUUCUCGCCUCUCAGCCUCCGCCGCAUCUCCAUGAAGAACUGCUGCAUCAGCUAAGUCAUCCUCAAACUCAGUAGGGACGGAUUCAACAUCCACUUAGGCUGUAGGGUUAAGAAGGGAAAAAGUUAAAAGGGUUUAAGGGAAGGAUUAUGGAAUCAAGAUAAGCAGAAAUGAUACCUAUCAGAAGGACUCGAUUCUUCUCUUGAAUCAUCUCCUUCCAAUUUUCAAGUUCGCCCGAACUAGGGUAUGAUUUAAGAGAAAGUUGACCGAACAAGCGAUCAUGAGUUUCUCUCAAGUCUCCUCCAUAUUUCUUGGUCCAUUUGUCUUCAUACCAAGAAGAGAAUAGUGAAGUGCAUUCAAAAUUGAGGAUGAUGGACUUUCGGGCAGCCUGACUCAUGACUUCAAGACUGCGUCGGGCAGCCUUAAAGGUCGCCUCAGAUGGAGAUGCUAAACGAAAAGAAGUGCCACAAUGAACGGAGUCAAAGAAUGGGAUAGGGAUGGCUUGCCUAAAGCCUAAUUGCCUACUGCAAAAAUUGGGAUGAUACACCUCCAACCCUCGAUCAUACCGAUUGCCCCAAACUCCCCAGGCCAUAUCUCUUGAUUGAAUGCAACUAAUAAAUUUUUCCCUACAAGAAGAAGUGGCAUCUUCCCCAAGAGCAUCUUGAAAGGCCUGGUCAGAGAACCAAUGAUAUCUUCUCAAUACUGAUGCACCCCAUUUCAGGUCUGAUCGAGUCCUACAAACCUUGAAGAAAUAAAAACAUCUGUUCUACAUCUGUCAUGUUGAAGAUGGCAGUGGCACGCCUGAGCACUUAAAGGUUAAUCUUGAUUGUGAAGCCUCAAGGCCUACACCUAAGGCCUCACAAAGGCACCUUUCAAAGUUAACUUUGUCCUUCUCUUUCAGACUUGCCCAACAAGCCCGCCAAUAAAGCAGGAGCCCGAUAGAAACCAUCAACCGGCGCCGACCUCUCGGGGAGCUGUGUGCUCGUCGGACAGGAAGCAUCCCCCACGAAAAUUCCAGCCACGAACAAAGUCAACUAAGAUUCUGGAGUUCUGGACCCGGGUAGAGGAUGAUGGAUAACAUAUCCUUUAGUUUCUUCCAUUCAUUAUAAUCACACACGUGUCGAUCCAAGGCAUGUCUGCUAUACAUUUGGAUUCGGCCGUCCCCUUAGGUCAUCUCUAAUUGAAGGGUCCAGAGGGUCAGAAGAUGAAAAAUAGUCCGAAAAUCAUCUCCAACUGAGGUCAGGCCAAAUGGCUCAUGGGCCCCACUGGAAAAACGAGUCAAAGGGCCAACCGGGUAGCCCCGAGCCCGGCCACAUUUCAAAUCCCAACUAUAACUAGUUGACGUUAGCUAACCCUUUUUUUAUAACAAAAUUUGUUUAAAAAAUCUAUUUUUCCCCUAUAACUUCCUAAACCAUUAAACAUUACAUAACAUUAUUAAACAAUAUUAAGCAAUAUUAAAUAACAUGAAAGGGCAUAAAAAUUAUACAACAUAAAAAAAAAACAUUUAACAACACGAAACUUAAACAACAUUUUUAAAAACAUUUAACAACAUAAAACUUAAACACCUAUUUAAUGCUUCUUUUGGCCUAAAGAUGUGCAAUAAGAUCAUGUUGUAGGUACUUGUUUGUGGCACGGGAACGUAUCAUUCUAUAGUGCCUCGUGUACUCAUUUAAAGAGAUACUACCAGUUAUUAGAUUGAAAGGCAAAUUAGGCCCAUCAUAUAUUUUUACAUGAGCCAUUCUUGACCUAUUUGGAUCAUCUUGGUCGUCAUCAGACUCUCCAUCAAUAUACCCAUCCCGUUUAUUCUCCACAAUCAUGUUGUGUAAUAUGAUGCAAGACAUCAUGAUGGAGUCCAAAUUUUCCCGACUCCACCAUUUUGCCGGUUCGCUGAUGAUCUUCCACCAUACUUGUAGAAUACCGAAAGCUUUCUCAACAUAUUUCUGGUAUGCCUUUUAGUGUAAGGUAAACAACUUUUCAGCAUCAUUCGCAAGGUUUGGAAUUGCUUGGACAAGUGUUGCCCAUUUUGGAUUGAUGUCAUCUGCCAAGUAAUACCUCAUAUUGUACUAAUGGCUAUUGAUGUAGUAGUCAAGUUGAGGUGAUUUACCUUCCAUCAGGCUAUUGAAAAUGGGUGAAUGCCCAAUAACUGUAAUGUCAUUUUGGAUCCAGGGACUCCAAAGAAAGUAUGCCAAAUCCAUGUGUCAUACGAGGCAACGGCCUCUAACACAACAGUUGCCUUUCUCGACCUUCCGCUGAAACCUCAUUGCCAUUCGGUGGGACAAUUCUUCCAAUCCCAAUGCAUACAGUCUAAUGACCCUAUCAUGCCCGGAAACCCACAGUCUUCAGAUUUACGAAUGAGCCAAUCCAAAUCUUCUUGAUUUGGCUCGCGGAGGUACUCGUCUUUGUAAAGUUAAACAAUUGUGUCACAGAAUUCAACAAGAGUAUUAAAGGGUGUAGACUCAAACAUACCAUGAGUUUCAUCCAUCGAAUCAGUUGGGAAGUCAUAGCCAUUAUUCAGAGUGCAACAGUAACAUUCUGAUAAGGUGAGAAACCAUGGCGGCCUGUUUUAUUCCGCUUCUGUCGAAAGUAUGGAUUGACCUUUUGGAUAUCACGAAGUAAACACUGGAAGACAUGACACCUCAUCCGAAAACGACAUAUGAAAUCCUCUUAUGUGUACACCGAGUUGGGGUUGAAGUGGUUGUUCAUCAAAUUGGCAUGCGUCAUCGCUCUGCUUCGUGGUUUGUAAGAGCAACUAGCAACUGAGCCACCCCGUUGACGUUAUUCCUCAAUUGGCUGACACAUCAUGACCGCAGCCAUAACUGCCACAUAUUGUGUGUUGCGCCAUGCUUCAUCUUCUUCAUCAGACUCAUCAUCUUCUCAUCGGAUUUGCGCCUGUUUUUCUUCCAAUUUGGACUUGGAUGAGGACUGUAACAUCCCACAUCGCCCAAGGGAAUGAUCUUUAAAUGUAUAUUCCUAUCCCUACCUAGCACGAGGCCUUUUGGGAGUUCACUGGCUUCGGGUUCCGUCGGAACUCCGAAAUUAAGCGAGAAGGAAGCCAGAGCACUCCCAGGAUAGGUGACCCACUGGGAAGUUGCUCAUGAGUUCUCAAAAACAAAACCGUGAGGGAAUGGUAAGCUCAAAGCGGACAAUAUCGUGCUACGGUGAUAGAGCGAGCCCGGGAAGUGGUCCGCCCCGGGCUGGGAUGUGACAAUUGGUAUCAGAGCCUAACCUUAGCCAUGGUGUGCCGACGAGAACGUCGGGCCCCUAAGGGGGGUGGAUUGUAACAUCCCACAUCGCCCAGGGGAGUGAUCCUUAAAUGUAUAUUCCUAUCCCUACCUAGCACGAGGCCUUUUGGGAGCUCACUGGCUUCGGGUUCCGUCGGAACUCCAAAGUUAGCGAGAAGGAGGUCAGAGCACUCCCAGGAUGGGUGACCCACUGGGAAGUUGCUCAUGAGUUCUCAAAAACAAAACCGUGAGGGAAUGGUAAGCCCAAAGCGGACAAUAUCGUGCUACGGUGGUGGAGCGGGCUCGGGAAGUGGUCCGUCCUGGGCCGGGAUGUGACAAGGACCCCCCAGUUGGAAUCCGAAGAGGAUCCAUGUAACGCCCUACCUCGAAAUACUUAUUUUUGGGAAAUAAUUUCGAUGAUAAUCCUAAUUUAAAACUCUUGUUAGUUUCACUACCAUUACUCACAAUUCUUUACUUCAAUUUCUUAUUUCCUACAAAACUAUAUUCAUAUUUUAAUUAUCAAAACAUACAAUUAAAUUAUCAAUUUAAUCCCCAAAUUCCUUCUAUUAAAACAACUUCUCAACAAAAUAUUAAUUCUCGAUUAUUUAAGGCUGCAUUUAACCCUUGUUAGACUGCCUACGUACCCUUAAGCGAGAUCAAGCCCUUUGUAGUUCACCAUUCAUUCUUUAAAUAAAAUCGUGGUUAAUUAAUAUUCUAUUAAUCACCAUAAUUCAAAUUCGAUCAUUUCAUGGUUAAAUAUAUAAUAAAAAUCACAUUUAAAUGGAAAUCACAUUUAUGUAACCCUUUCAUAUUUACAAACAAUAUUAAUGUAAGAAAUCAAGAUAAUAACUACAUCACAUAAAUCUGAGUCACUCUCUAACCAUUGUAGGCCCACAAGACCUCACUUAGUAUCCUGUACUAUUAAAUUAAUAUUCAGAACGUUACGAGCCAUGUUGACCAAAGUCAACUCUCGAUCAACUGUAGGGUCCACAACCCUACGUAAUUAGAUCUGGAAGAUCUGCCCAUCUAUAACUUCUUAAAGUCCACAUUAUGCUUAUAGAAUAACACACUAUAUUCUCACAGCGAUCCAACGGUUGGAUCUUCGCCAAUUACUAGGAUUAGGUGGCGGUCGACAAUUUAUUUUACAACUUAGAAAUCCUGACACACCCCGACUGAGAUCAUGGCAUGCUAGUCGUCACGUGAGAGUGACGUAGCCAUGUGCACAGUACGGAAGCAAUAAAGAUAAGAAUUAUACGAAUAAUUAAAAACCGGAUUACUAGAGUGCACUACUAAACAUGAAGUGAUAGGAGUUAGUUACAACAGUAAACACUUAUAAUCAGAGCAUAAUAAGUCUAGGUGCAGUCCAGUAGGCAAGUACUAGUUAUACAAUACCGGGAAUAUCCUACUAUUAUUUAGAUAGGUCAAAACCGCUGACGUCCUCAAGCCACCAACAUCAAGCUUACUUAAAACCUAGAGGGGCGCAAAACAGAAAACAUGAGUGGGCAAAAACAAAUGUUUUACAAAACCAUUUCAUUAUCAACAUAUCUAAUCCCUCACUGUAAAACAUGUAUAAUUUUUCCCAAAAUCAGAAUAUAAGCAUAUACAUAAUAUAUAUAUAUAUAUAUAUAUAUGAAAUUAUAUCAAUCCAAUUCAUGCUUCACAUAAUCAUAUUCAAAUAUAUACCAUGCCAAUAUAUAACAGAGUAAGCAAUUCAGUUAAGAAUAAAUUCAUAGAAAUAUGAUAUGUUAGCCAGAACUCCUGUGGUAGUCUGUACGGCUGAAUUCAUAGCUCUAAGUCAAUCUAGCAGAAGUCACUACAAUGACCUAUACGGAAAUAUACUGCACAUAAGUCAGAACCACUAAAAAUGUAUGUACAACAAGAUUGGGUGUAAUAUAGUUAUGCUCAAUUUUAUUCUCUCAUAAUAGCCGGGCGAUAAAUCGCUAGUCACCUACGAGUCAGAACCAUAAUUAAGGUCUGCCCGACAAGACUGUGCACUUAAAUUGGAUCCAAUAUGAGCAUAUAGUGCGGGAGGUGACGUAAAUAAACAGGCAUGUACUUCACAUUUCUGGCUAAAUCACAAUCACCCUAGGUGCAGUUUUAUGAACUCAACAUUUUCAAUCACAUGUCAUAUCAUCAAUGUGGAUGCAAAUUUUCUCCUCCUCGAUCUUGGACGAUUUUGCACCUACAAAACAACUAGCACCUUAGGUUAAGGCCAAAAGCCUCACACGCCCACGAUGAAUGGGGGGGGCUUUGGCCGAAGAACCUCCGAUGCCAAAGUUAGAAUUUUAGAGAGAAAUAGUGUUUAGAGUGUUUGUGAUUUUUUGCAAGAGGUUUUCAAUUAGUGUUUUGUGAAAAUGGUACCCAAUUUAUAGGAGAGGAAAGGAUGAUUUAUUUUGGGGGGUUAUGGAGAUAAUGGGCUAGUUAUUUUAGGGAGUUAUGGAAAUAAUUGGCUAGUUAAUUAGCAAAUAGUAAUAACCUAAUUUACUAGCUAUUUGAAUGUCACACAAAGGGGGAGAAAAUGGCAGCCACCAACAGGAAAAAUAGGGCAUGACCGGCCUAGUGGGUUUUUGGUUAGUUUGUGGUUUAAUUAGCCACUUUAAUUUGCUAAUUAAAUAUGAAAAUAAAUGUUAUAGUAAUUAUGGUAUUGAUUGGCUAAUAAAAGGGAAGAAAUGGUGGGAAAAGGUAACAAAAAAGGUAAUGGUUUAGGUUUUGAAUGGGAUAGCCGGCCCUCUAGUAUUUUUAGGUUUGGGUGGAUGUUUCAAAUUGAUAAUUAAGGGAUUGAUUAGUUAAUUAAUCCCUUAAUUAGUCAAUUAUUAUGAUUUGAGGAAAUAUGAAAGGAAUAAGUAUAUUAUUUAGCUAAUUGAUUAGCUAAAUAAUGAAAUGGGAAAUAUAUGAAUAAAUUAGGUUUUAAGUUGAUACCUAUUUUGGGCACUUUUGACUUGGUUGAAAAAUGAUUGCCCACUGCUCGCGCGUAGGAAUCCCGGUAUGCCUCAAGGGUAUUUUUGUCCUCUUAUGUUCAAAAGUCCACGUGUCGCCUAGUGAAUAUUAUUUGCUCCACAAUCAAUUAUUCAUAUAACCAAAUAUAACUUACCUGAACUUACAUGUGCCUCCACAACACCACACUUAUAUAUAUAUAUAUAUAUAUAUAUAUAUAUAUAUAUAUAUAUAUAUAUAUAUAUAUAUAUAUAUAUAUAUAUAUGUAACCAUGAAAUGCGUAUUCAGAAUAUAAAAGCAUUUGGCAUAUUAUUUCAAAGCAUACUUUCCUUAAAAAUGCAUUUAUGGGAAAUAUAUCAAGUAUAUAAAUAUAUACUGAAAACAAAAGCCCACUCACUGGUAUGUCGACGGGUCGUAACCCUCGAGUCGCCCGUGGAUACGCUCGUCCUCGGGAUAAGUCUCACCUAUAUGCGAAUUAACUAUAAAAACGUUAUUUUAAAGCACAUAAGCAAAACUAGCUAAUAACUUCUCAUACAUAGCUCAAAAUGGGUAUAUGAAUAUACCACAGUGACCUACACAACCUCAGGAUCAUCCCCAAAUUUUUAGAUUAAUUUUUGGAACCCUCACGAGCCGGCGAACGCACGGCAAAACACGCGGCCACGUGCAGUGGAUUCCCUAACUGCCGUUAGGAAUAUUCCCCAGAAUAUUUCGUUAAGUCCAAUGGUAACCGUCCAAACUAACUGACGACGUCAGCAUAUUCCGUCAAAACUGACGAAGAUUCUGUCUUCGUCCCCGGCGAGUCGCCGGUCGCUGAAAAACUGGGUAAAACUUUAAAACCUUUGUUCUCACUUGUUUUUCAGCCAUUUUUCACGAAAUUUGAACCAUAUGAAAGCUUAGAGUGAGAAGAAUGGCGUUAUACCAAUUUGAAGCUUCAAAUCUCACGAAAUCAUGUCGGGGAAGCUUCGAAAUUUCGACCAAAACUGCAACUCGCCGUUUCUCGCGAUCCCGACAUCCAAAUUCCUCAAACGAACUACCCCGAGACUCGUGAGGACCUCAUUAAGCUUCAUAUGAGCUUAUAUUUCCCUAAAACACAAGGUUUUACGUGAGUAUGAACAGUGCAUGAAAAUUGGGUUACGGGUUUACGAGUUUUCGAAUGAUUACUUACCUAAAACUGGUGUCAAACCUUUCGUAUCACCACGAGGAACACAAUGGUGACAAUUACACCGUCGAUCUACAAGGUUUGGGGUGAGUUGAAGCUUUUUCGUAUGAAGAAUGAGAGAGAGAGAGUGAAAAUCGAGAGAGAGAGUACGGGAGAGAGAGAGAAUGGAUAAGUGAUGUGUGUGGUCCAAAACUAGUCAACAACCUAAUCACAACCAAAGCUUCUUAGUUCCUAAGUGGUUCCAAAAACUUAGGAGAAGCUUAAUUAACCAUCUUGAUCGGAUCAUAUUUAUAUAUAUUUUUACUUCAAAUUCACUCGUCUUUUCUUAGUUAGUUCCUUAUAUUUUCGAGCUAUUUACGUUAUUUUUGUGUUUAUAGGAUUUGUUAUGCAAAGAAAAUAAAAAUAGCACAAAUGAGUUUAAAUAAUGUAUUAAUGUGACUCUUUCUAUUUUCUUUUUGGUAUUUAACUUUAUAUUGCUGAUAGUUUAUGGAUUGUUACAAUUUCUGUUGUGGUUGUUUAUGUAAUUAAAAGCUGUUUGAAAUGGUUUUGCUGUAAUUUGCUGGAAGAAUGGUGUGUUUAAUUCUAUUAUUAUAUGUAAUAUGUUAAGGUGGGAAGCUUUUGGGGCGGCUCAGAAAAGGAAAUAAACAAAAAGAAUGAGUGCAGCGUGAGGUGGAGAGCAAAAGAGAAGCUGCAUUUGCAGCUAGUGGAGUGAAUAAACAAAAAGAAUCUGAGUGCAGCGUGGUUGGUGGAGGUAAGCAGCUCCUUGGCAGCAUGUGAAGUGGGAGCCUCGGAACCAGGAGAAUAAAAACGUGCAGCGUGAUGCAGUGAAGGGAGGCGCGGACAGAAAAGAAAAGAAAAGCUGCCUUUGCAGCUGAGCAGCGCAGGAAAGCACAGCGAGACUGUGCGGUAAAAUAACGCUGCCUUUGGCAGCCUUGAAAAACAAAAACCGAAGAGGACAGAAAAGUAGAGUGGCGCAGAAAAUAAGAGGGAGCACCGAGAGGUGAGCAGCGAGAGGUGACGCGGGGCAGAGGAGAAGAGCUGCCAUUUGGCAGCUUGAGCAUGGAGGCAAGUCAGAAAACAGAGAAGUCAGACAGACAGAAGCAGCAAACACUCUCCUCUCUCUCGGUUAAAUCUUUCCAAUACUUAUAUUUUAUUUUUGUUUUAAUAAUGUGUAAUUAAAUUUAUUUUGGCUAGAGGUUAAUUCAAAACCAUGAAUAUAUUUGUAAUAUGAAUUGAUUACCUUCAGUUGUGAUUUCUGAGUUGUGAUUUAAUUUGCUUAACUGCUUGAUUGAUAACUUAUUUUUGUAUGUUGAUUAAGGAUGCAUACUUAAUUUACAUGCAUGAAUUUGAUGCUAGAAUAUAAGUGAAUUUCACCUAAUCGUUAUGAACUUAUAUUCACAAGUAGUGAAGGUUGUUAUCCACAAUCGUGUUAAGUGAAUUCUAGGCUGGAUUAACAUGCGUAUUCCAUAGUUAUGAAUGCUUAGUCAAUGUUUAUGAUUUCCGUUGAACUUAAUGAUCUUUGUUGAAUGUCUCUAUCAUGCGUAUUCCAUAGUUAGGGACUUUGAUGAGGAAUAAUUUGGUUGUAAUGCGUAUUCCAUUCAAUCCAAUGAAUCUAGGGAAAUCUAAGAGUUAAUUUAAGCGGACCUAAUUAACUUGGAACAUUGUGAUUUACAAUUUAUUGAAAGAACAACUGAAAAUCAAUUUAGGUUGCAUAUGUGUCAUGUGUGGAGAAGAACCCUCUAGCUAGUCCGUCAAUUAUCAUUUUACCUUAAUUUUAUGUUUUUGUCAAUUCUGUAAUUUAAUUAAGUUUAAUUUA
rnacentral:lncRNA from 1 species